UACAGAGGGUGCAAGCGUUGUUCGGAAUUAUUGGGCGUAAAGCGCGUGUAGGCGGCUUUGCAAGUCGGGUGUGAAAGCCCUCAGCUCAACUGAGGAAGUGCGCCCGAAACUGCCGAGCUUGAGUACCGGAGAGGGUGGCGGAAUUCCCCAAGUAGAGGUGAAAUUCGUAGAUAUGGGGAGGAACACCGGUGGCGAAAGGCGGCCACCCUGGACGGUAACUGACGCUGAGACGCGAAAGCGUGGGGAGCAGACAGG
rnacentral:rRNA from 1 species